GGUGUUGCUAUUUUGAAAACCUACAUGGAUGCCAUGAUCAAGCAGAAAGUAGAGGGAGAUCUUACAGAACUACAGACAGCAAUCGAAGAACAGAUUAAAGAUGCGUUUGAGAAUGUGAAAGAAUAUAUCAAUAUGAAAAUCGAAACUGUCCAGAGGGAGACUGUGGCCCACAUCGAUUCAUCUGUGAGUAAAUGAUAAAUGUGACUUCUAUUAAAUCAUGUCAACUCUUUCUGUAGGAAUUCGUCAGUAAAAUGCUUUCUUUUCAAUUGCUACGCAGAUGAGUACCAUGUGGGAAAAUGUCGAGAGAGAAAUAAAUCAGAAUAUCAAAAGUGUGCAUGCUGCUCCUCCCUGCCCUCCUGUGACGGAUGAGAAUUUUGAUGUCUCGGCGGAUAUUUCUGUUGUCGAAUCUGGUGGGGAGGAAGAUGGCGAACCAUUAGAUUUCAAAGACAUUGAGGCAAAAAUUGAGGUAAGCCAAUAGCUUCUACUGAAGCCUAAUAAGCUUGAUAUCUGAUCCAUUCCUAUCACAUCAAUAAGUAUAGUUAUAGUCAAGAGCAAACCAUAUGCAAAGUUAAUUCUUUGUUUGUUAAUAUUGCAGACUAAAUUUUGGGGCAAAACGUUUAAUAAACAGGAGGAACCUAAAAGACAAGAGGAACCUAUUUCUGACGAUGACCUAGUGGAAUCUCCUUCUAAGAAGCCGAAACCAGUAAGAGCAAGGAAAACACCAGUUAAGAAUAAGCCUAAAAGUAGUUCGAAACAGGGAAACACUGGUCCAGGUCGGCCUAAAGGCUCCACCAACAAGACGGUCAAGAAGGAUGACUUGACUGACCAAUAUAAGAACCUACUUGAAGAACAUAAAAAACUAGCCGCAGAGUUAGAAAAACUCAAGAAGAGCAAGUAGUGCCUAAUUUGCUUUAAAAAUUUGUUGUUGGUGAGUCUACAUUGGCAAAUGAUUCCACUUCCAUUGCACUGUAGAUGUGUCAUUCAAUUUUCCUGCAAUGUAAGUAGUGUUGGGCGCUUGUCAUGUUAUUUAAUUAUAUUUGUUCUACUAUCAUUCUAUUCCAUUGCCAAGUGUUUUUAAGUUUUGUUUUAUUUGUUCAAUGGUGUUGCCUAACGUUGAGGAGCUUGUAACCUUUUACAAUUGAUAAGUUUUUGUAUUUUGGAGCAAGUUUUAUUGUUUAUUAAUCCAAUGGUGUACUUGAUGUACUUUCAUGCUUUCAUCUUUUAUGACCAAUCUUGACCAUAAUUGUACAUCUUUAUGUGUUUUCUAUUUUUUUUUAAAUUACAUUUAUGACAAACAGCAACUCAAACUGUUCUUAUUUAUCAACCAGUACCUAAAAUUGAAUAUAGCUGCACAAUUUGAACAGCUCCGUACUUAGUAGUUGUGAUCAUCAACUGGGUGUCAUGCCUCUUCAUCUUAGUACAUGUAAUUGAAGUCUUUUUAAUUGGGGUUACAUGAAGGUGAGUUUUUCAACAAGCUUUUGAGUACAUGUUUUUUGGAAAGAUUGUUAGGAAAUCCUCAUUGAAUGCUUACUAAUAAGAAUUCACCUAACUUAAAAGUUAGGAAUGAGUUCAGUUAUGUUACCAUAUCUCAACAGUUUUACUGCAAUGCAGGGAAAAUUAAGGAUAUUAGCUGUGGUGUCUUGUUUUGGGGAGGAAUACACUGAAAAAUUUGCCAUUUUGCAUAAUAAUCCCCUGCAAGGCAUUUUAUGAGAAGGAAACUACCACAUACUUGCAAACCAUUCAGAAUUUUGCAUGCCUUUUACCUUUGUCAGAGGAACAGCUUUAUAUCCCCUAACACAUAAAAAGUUUAAAAGUCACAGUAUCAAAAUUAUUAUUAACAUCCAAACACUCAAUUUGAACCCUUUUUGUAAACGCUCUAAACACUUCUCGCGCAUCAGGCCAGGCAACAAAGGCAUUGAAUCAGUGUUCUCCGCUACAGAUGUGAGAUAUCAAAAAUUGGUUUAUCUUCCCCUUAAAAUACUUUUAAAAUAUAAAGAACUAACUUUGGACCAUUGCAAAUGUUUCAAAAAUGUUAAAGAUAUGUUUUUGUCAAAGAAUUAAAAAAUACGAAAUCAAAAUCAAAAAUGAGCUGUCAUAACUAUUAAUUCCCUUCUGAUUAAGGAUUUUUAACACCCAACUUUGUUGACAUACAAUGGUUGCUCAAGGAACCAUUUUGGUGGAGUCCUGCAAAAAGCACAAAAUUUUAAAAACUAUUGAACGGUUUGGGAUACAGACUUGAGGCAAUUAUUGUUCUUAAUUUUGGUCAUUCUAAGAAAGAUUUUUCAAGCCCCCCACCUGACCUGCCCAUCAUAUAGAGCCACCAUUUUCAGUGUAGACUUUCCUUAACUCUAAAACAAACGACAAAAACACAUUGAUAUAUAGGGAGGGUACAAAAUUUAAUUUCAUGGUACUACAAUUAGAUGACAGCAGACUUAAAACACAAAGGCCAAAUAAUACAAAAUAAUAGGGACAAUUAAUAUUAGUAAGAUUGUGACUAGUAUUUCUCUAAUUUCUCGUUUUCAUUUUUACAGUACAGAAAAAAAAGAAUUCAAUACAUAUUAAAUACCUGGAGGGUGGGACUAUUAAGUUAUUUUAUCCAAAGAAGCAAUGGCCAAGAGAGGCACAGCACAAAAUGACAUUUAAAUGAAGCCCAGAAAACAACAUGUUGUAAAACAUAUUUUAACACUACUGCUUUAGGAUCAGUACAACACACAAAUGUCACACAUUAUACAAAGUUUUUUCUGUAUCUUUACAAAGUAUGAAUUUUCCUUUCAGCAACAGCUUUCAUUAAAAUAACAAUUUAUUUAAACUUAAACUCCGAACCCUUUUACAAUCAUAGAUUAGAGUAAAAAAUUGAAAUUUUACCAAUCAAUAAUAAAAUCAGUCGAGUAACUUUGACGAAACAAAUACAUGAAAAAUAGGUCAGAAAUUGUACGUCAAUACCAAACAAAAACAUUACACAAACAAACUUACACCUCAUCCACUGCCCUAUCAUAGGCCCUGUCAAAUGUGUGUAGGGCACCUUCCAGGUACCUCAUGAUGCUGUUGUUUAAGUUGUCAACAGGGUGCGCCAAUCCAUUUGCCAGGUUCCUAAGGCGUCUGUCAAGGUUAAUGGAUCUGGCACGCCUCAUUCUGUUUGGUCUGUCACCCCUGAGCAUAGCCCCAGCAUCUGCUACUGCACCUGCCUCCAAUGUCAC